rnacentral:rRNA from 1 species
AGAUGGCGACCGGCGCACGGGUGAGUAACACGUAUCCAACCUGCCGAUAACUCGGGGAUAGCCUUUCGAAAGAAAGAUUAAUACCCGAUGGUAUAAUCAGACCGCAUGGUUUGAUUAUUAAAGAAUUUCGGUUAUCGAUGGGGAUGCGUUCCAUAGGCAGUUGGUGAGGUAACGGCUCACCAAACCUUCGAUGGAUAGGGGUUCUGAGAGGAAGGUCCCCCACAUUGGAACUGAGACACGGUCCAA